GACAGAGUGACUGGAAACAUUUUUUUCCCCCUGUUAAAAGAGCUCAGCCUGGAAAUUAACAUGCAAGAAAUUCAGGAUGAUUUAUACACACCUAAGACAUCAUCAUUUAUGUAAAUGGCUCUUCCCAGUUCUCUUAGGCACAAUUACUCCCAAAAGUUGCUUGUUUGCAAAGAAAGAAAUGGCACAGGACCAUCUGAUGGUCUUGCCUUGAGAAUGUUCUGCAAUAAUAUUAAGGAAAAAUCCACCACGCCUCUUAGGAAAAGGGAAGCUAGACUCUGGCCCUAGACCCAAGUUAAGGAUCCAGUUUUUUCUGGUACAGAGUUUCCUUUCAGUCAGUCAGAGGCUAUCCUCCCCAAAGGAACGACAAAGGGUGUUUUUGAGGAGCAUCGUGGGAGUUUCCUAAGAGAUGGGCUGGAGAGGGGCAGUGACGUUAAGUUCUCUGUCUCUGCCUGAGAGACACAGCUCUUAGUGAUUCUGAGUAACCAGGGAAGACUCAGCUGGACCAAAGCUGGAGGGUGUUUUACACAGUCCUAGAGGAGGAGAAAAGAACGAUAUUUUUCCAAGCUUUUCUGGAGCAAAAGAUGCUUGAGGGAGUGAAAGAGAGAUUAUGAGAGAGAAGGAACCUGUUCACACCCAGUGGACUUCCCAAUAUUGCUAGCAAGAGGGCUCAUCAGGCAACCAAGGUGAGAACACAGAGUCUCUAAAAUGUCUACACACAACAAGGCCAAAGUUUUCUUAAUUUCUUUGAGUAUGGUCACUUUUGCAGUUAUGGUGGUGAUGAACGGUGCGGCAGGUUCUGGAGCAUUCAAAGGUAUAUUCCAGAGAACUGUUGGAAACAUCUCCAGCAAGUAUAACACCAACUUGACCCCAGCUGGCUGGACCUUCUUCAUUUGGAACAUCAUUUAUUUGUGGCAGUUAGCUUGGCUUGGCUACGCUGCAUCUGGACUCUGCAGAAGCAAUGAACUUGGAUGGUUCUACAUGAAACCAGAUGUCUUGCCAACUCCGUUUUACAUGGUGUGGAUCCUGAAUAACGCCUUGAAUGUUGGAUGGCUGUUUCUAUGGGACAAAGAAUACCUCAGCCCUGCUCUGCUUAUCCUCACAGGGCUCACAGGUUCCAAUUAUGUGAUUCUCUCCUUGGCUUGUCGAGGACUCCAUUCCCACAGAACCUGGCUCCAGAAUCACCAUAGGAUUGACCUGUGUCUCCUCCGCAUUCUGGUGCAGAAUGGGAUUGCGAUUUAUGCUACAUGGACCACAGUGGCAACACUAUUGAAUUUUGCAGUUGUGUUGGUAUACAGUGUGGGAGUGGCCAACCAAACUUCCACUACUGUUGUCCUGUCUAUUCUCCUCAUGCUGCUGGUGCUCUGGUUCUACCUGGAAAACUUCCUCCUGGAUAAGUAUGUACGUUACAUCCUCACUGUAUACCCGGUGGUCAUGGUCGCAUUGUCCGGCAAUAUUGCUCAGCACUAUAAUACAUCUGCUCCAACAAGAAACAACAUCUUUGCAGUUGUCCUGAUGGCUGUGACAAGUGUGAUGUUUUUGGUUCGGCUUGGUCUAGUUACUUGCAGGCAUCGCUAUCAGCCGCUUACUAUGAGUGAGUCAUUGUUUCCAGGGCCGGCAAGGCUAGGAGAGAACCUCAGAGAUGCUGAAGAUGACCUUAGGAAAAGAAGCUACAGAUCUCAGGAGAUGGAGCCAGAACACCUUGCUAUGAAGUCAUUCUGAUUACGGGCAAGACCAUUGAGAAUCAAGGCUUUGCCUAAUACCAAACAGUUAUGGAAUACGAAUGAUUGAAACACAUUUAUUCAGCAUUUACUAAGUGCUAACAAUUAUGCUAAUUGUUAGGGAUACAAAUACAAAAGUGAGACCACAUCUUUGUCUUCAAAGGGCUUUUUAGGGGAAAACAAAGCAUAUAGUGGCCCAGGAAUAAUGUUUUGGCCUGGGAAGCAGCAGGAAUGGCAUAUGGAGCCCUAGAGGAAUAAAAAUAACUACUCUUUUUUUUAAAAAAAAAUC
rnacentral:lncRNA from 1 species